rnacentral:rRNA from 1 species
CAAGGUUCCUUAGAUCGUUUCUUCCUACUUGGAUAACUGUGGCAAUUCUAGAGCUAAUACAUGCAGUGAGCCUGAAGCCCUUUGGGCGACGGGUGCUUUUAUUAGACCAAGAUCGAUCGGGUUUCGGCCCGUAUUGUGUGGUGACUCUGGAUAACUUUGUGCUGAUCGCAUGGCCACGAGCCGGCGACGUUUCUUUCAAGUGUCUGCCUUAUCAACUUUCGAUGGUAGGUUACUUGCUUACCAUGGUUGUUACGGGUAACGGAGAAUCAGGGUUCGAUUCCGGAGAGGGAGCCUGAGAAACGGCUACCACAUCCAAGGAAGGCAGCAGGCGCGCAAAUUACCCACUCCCGGCACGGGGAGGUAGUGACGAAAAAUAACAAUACGGGACUCUUUUGAGGCCCCGUAAUUGAAAUGAGUACACUCUAAAUCCUUUAACGAGGAUCAAUUGGAGGGCAAGUCUGGUGCCAGCAGCCGCGGUAAUUCCAGCUCCAAUAGCGUAUACUAAAGCUGCUGCGGUUAAAAAGCUCGUAGUUGGAUCUCAGUUCCAGACGAGUAGUGCAUCUACCCGAUGCGACGGCUCGGACUGAACAUCAUGCCGGUCCUUUCUUGGUGCACUUCAUUGUGUGCCUCGAGAAGGCCGGUGCUUUUACUUUGAAAAAAUUAGAGUGCUCAACGCAGGCGAGUCGCCUGAAUAAACUUGCAUGGAAUAAUAGAACAAGACCUCGUUUCUGUUCUGUUGGUUUUUGGAAUACGAGGUAAUGAUUAAGAGGGACAGACGGGGGCAU